GCUUACGGCCAUACCACUCUGAACACGCCCGAUCUCGUCCGAUCUCGGAAGCUAAGCAGGGUCGGGCCUGGUUAGUACUUGGAUGGGAGACCGCCUGGGAAUACCAGGUUCUGUAAGCU
rnacentral:rRNA from 1 species